AACGCAAGAUGGCGCCCGAGCGUAGCGGGCGGUUCAGAGUCGCUGGGUUUGCGGGCCCUGGCGCCGCGGGCGUAGGAGAGGCCGCGGAGACCUGAACGGCAGUUUCUCUUGGCAGCCGCGGCUCUGAGGGCUUCUGGGGACGGUACCGCCCAUCUAUUCAGAAGAGCUGAGGCCAAGCACCCGGGACUGGCUCAGGACAGGAGCAAAGCUAGGACCCUGCAGCCAUCUCUGAGGAGAGGCCAGCUGAGGUUGGACUACCCCAGCUCUUACCACAUGGUCUGGAUGGAGAUCGGCUUGAAGAUUCGACUCUGCCCACCAGACGUCACACUGAAGCCCCUGAGGGAGAGCAGUUGCCAUCUCUUACCCAUCUCCAUCGAGGUACACCUGGGUGUCACUCCAGAGAGGCAAGACCAGGCCCAGAGUGCAGCUGUAGGAGCUGGCAGGACACAGAGGGAAAGCCAUUAUUCCCCAGCACCUCACUUCCUUGCCCCCUCCCUUCCUCGCCCUGCUCCCACCUGCUAU